UCUGGAAGCUGGAUUACUCCUUGCGUGCAGUUGUUGUGUUCUGUCCGCAGUGUCAGCCUUCCUAUAGUAAUGUACUGGAGAUCUCUGUCUGGCUCUGUACAGUGUAAACUGAGCCUGAUCGUUCCUCUCCUCACACU